ACCUGGCUGGCUCAGUCAGAAAAGCAUGUGAUUCUUGAUCUCAGAGUUGUGAGUUCAAGCCCACGUUGGGUG
rnacentral:tRNA from 1 species